rnacentral:rRNA from 1 species
UACGUAGGUGGCAAGCGUUGUCCGGAUUUAUUGGGUUUAAAGGGUGCGUAGGCGGUUUCAUAAGUCAGUGGUGAAAUACGGCAGCUCAACUGUCGAGGUGCCAUUGAUACUGUGAGACUUGAGUACAGACGAGGUAGGCGGAAUUGACGGUGUAGCGGUGAAAUGCUUAGAUAUCGUCAAGAACACCGAUAGCGAAGGCAGCUUACUAGGCUGUAACUGACGCUGAGGCACGAAAAGUGUGGGGAUCAAAACAGG